rnacentral:rRNA from 1 species
UACGGAGGGGGCAAGCGUUGUCCGGACUUACUGGGCGUAAAGGGCGCGUAGGCGGCCUCCGCAAGUAAGUUGUGAAAUCUCCGAGCUUAACUCGGAAAGGUCAACUGAUACUGCGGGGCUAGAGUGCGGAAGGGGCAACUGGAAUUCUUGGUGUAGCGGUGAAAUGCGUAGAUAUCAAGAGGAACACCUGCGGCGAAGGCGGGUUGCUGGGCCGACACUGACGCUGAGGCGCGAAAGCUAGGGGAGCGAACGGG